rnacentral:rRNA from 1 species
AGCGAACGCUGGCGGCAGGCUUAACACAUGCAAGUCGAGCGGGCACUUCGGUGUCAGCGGCAGACGGGUGAGUAACACGUGGGAACGUACCCUUCGGUUCGGAAUAACGCUGGGAAACUAGCGCUAAUACCGGAUACGCCCUUUUGGGGAAAGGUUUACUGCCGAAGGAUCGGCCCGCGUCUGAUUAGCUAGUUGGUGGGGUAAUGGCCUACCAAGGCGACGAUCAGUAGCUGGUCUGAGAGGAUGAUCAGCCACACUGGGACUGAGGCACGGCCCAGACUCCUACGGGAGGCAGCAGUGGGGAAUAUUGGACAAUGGGCGCAAGCCUGAUCCAGCCAUGCCGCGUGAGUGAUGAAGGCCUUAGGGUUGUAAAGCUCUUUUGUCCGGGACGAUAAUGACGGUACCGGAAGAAUAAGCCCCGGCUAACUUCGUG